GGGGGCAUAGCUCAGUUGGCUAGAGCGUUUGACUGGCAGUCAAGAGGUCAGGGGUUCGAUUCCCCUUGUCUCCA
rnacentral:tRNA from 1 species